GCCUAAAGCGUCCGUAGCCUGCUUUGUAAGUUUUCGGUUAAAUCCAUAUGCUCAACAUAUGGGCUGCCGGGAAUACUGCACAGCUAGGGAGUGGGAGAGGUAGACGGUACUCGGUAGGGAGGGGUAAAAUCCUUUGAUCUAUUGAUGACCACCUGUGGCGAAGGCGGUCUACCAGAACACGUCCGACGGUGAGGGAUGAAAGCUGGGGGAGCAAACCGGAUUAGAUACCCGGGUAGUCCCAGCUGUAAACUAUGCAAACUCGGUGAUGCGUUGGCUUGUAGCUAGCGCAGUGCCGCAGGGAAGCCGUUAAGUUUGCCGCCUGGGAAGUACGUACGCAAGUAUGAAACUUAAAGGAAUUGGCGGGGGAGCACCACAAGGGGUGAAGCCUGCGGUUCAAUUGGAGUCAACGCCAGAAAUCUUACCCGGAGAGACAGCAGAAUGAAGGUCAAGCUGAAGACUUUACCAGACAAGCUGAGAGGUGGUGCAUGGCCGUCGCCAGCUCGUGCCGUGAGGUGUCCUGUUAAGUCAGGUAACGAGCGAGACCCUUGCCUCUAGUUGCCACCAUUACUCUCAGGAGUAGUGGGGCGAAUUAGCGGGACCGCCGCAGUUAAUGUGGAGGAAGGAAAGGGCCACGGCAGGUCAGUAUGCCCCGAA
rnacentral:rRNA from 1 species